GGUUUUCUUCUCGGCCUGGGAUGCCUGCACCUCCACACUUCCAGCCCUGUCCUACGGCCAGGCUGGAUCGCUGUUGGUAUGGCAACGCUUCCCUGCACCAACCAAACCGUGAAAGAUGUUUCACUCUGCUAUGUUAAGUCAUAUUGACAUACUGCCAUGAAGUGGAAGCAACUGCUACUUUUAACAUUGCUCCAUAUCUUUAUUAAAAGCACUGGCAGAGUCUUUACUCUGCACACCACUGCUGACCCCAGAAGUGACCCACAGGAACUACUGGCAAAAGGAGUGAAAAGAUGGAGAGGACGGAAGACUUCCAGAAGGUCUCAUGUACUGGGUGGUACAGCCCUUUUCUACCUGUCAGCCAAGCAUUUCAGCCCUAAUUCAAAUAAAACUCUUAGGCAUUCUGUUGGGAGAGGUAGAAUUUUUUGUUUUGGUUGGCAUCAGGUUGACUGCGCUUCUCUGGGCAAGGGGGUGACCACCCUGAGUCUCAUCACUGAAAAAGUGUGGCAAAACCUGAUCUUGCUGGAAGAGGCAGCUCAGAAAACAACAUUUGGGUCAGUACUGAUAUCCACACUGUUGAUUAUAUGACCAUAAUUUUGGUUCUAAUUCACUUUGUCAUUCCCAUCAUACAGAUUCCAGUCUCCUAAAUAUGUGGCACCAGUGGAAAUCUACAGUGAAGCAAAAUUAGUCUUAAUAUUGUAUUUCAUUCUUAGAUUGCCUUCUUAGCACUGACCUUCAGCCUCUUUAAUUAAAAGUUUGCAAACAUGCAUUCCUUAAGUAAUUUCUGACCUUCACAGCUGGUUAUGAGGCAGCUGUAGUUGAAAUUUUUGAGCAAAGUCUCUUUCCCUCUCUCAGGGGCCUCCACUUUUUCAGUUUUGGAAAUGACUUAUUAACUUUGCAGCCAUUGGGACAACUCUCCAAAGAAAUGAAGUUUCUUGAUGAACAUGCACAAUUUUUCUCUGCACAUCAAAGAGUUCAGAUUUUCACUCCACUUGUCAGAGACUACUGAUAAUUACUUUUAUUAACCAUCUCACAAAUAACAAAUGUGUGAGGUCAAAAAAAGUCUCAUUUGAACUUUAUGGUUUCAUGUGUGAAAAAAGAAAUGCUACUAAGAGUAACUACGAGUGUUGGGUAAGGAGCCAUAAUUUUCUCAGUAAAAGAGAGCCCAUUAAGAAGACAAAGAUAUUGGGGUGCUGCUCAAGUGCUCCUGAGAUUUUGUUCUGAUAAUUAUUUGCAGGUGUGUUUAAAACUACUUGUCUCUGUAUGCUGCUUUGAGGAAUAAAGGUGCUUUGCUACAUCUUUCA
rnacentral:lncRNA from 1 species